AACGAACGCUGGCGGCAUGCCUAACACAUGCAAGUCGAACGAGACCUUCGGGUCUAGUGGCGCACGGGUGCGUAACGCGUGGGAACCUGCACUUAGGUUCGGAAUAACUCCCCGAAAGGGGUGUUAAUACCGGAUAAUGUCUUCGGACCAAAGAUUUAUCGCCUUUGGAUGGGCCCGCGUUGGAUUAGCUAGUUGGUAGGGUAAAAGCCUACCAAGGCGAUGAUCCAUAGCUGGUCUGAGAGGAUGAUCAGCCACACUGGGACUGAGACACGGCCCAGAGUCCUACGGGAGGCAGCAGUAGGGAAUAUUGGACAAUGGGCGAAAGCCUGAUCCAGCAAUGCCGCGUGAGUGAUGAAGGCCGUAGGGUUGUAAAGCUCUUUUACCCGAGAUGAUAAUGACAGUACCGGGAGAAUAAGCUCCGGCUAACUCCGUG
rnacentral:rRNA from 1 species